AAUUGUGAAGUUGGGAGUUGAGAGAAUUUGCUUUGAAUUGUAUUCAAAGCUUCAAAUUUUCAACAAUGACUUCACUAAAGCUUUGCUACAAUGGAUUAAAAAAUGCAAAACAACAUAUGAUAUUAUUUUUCAUUUUAUUCGGCGUACUUUGUGGAUUUUUACUCGGUUCUUUAUUACAUGGCAAUGUUCAGUCGUCCGUAGAUCCAACACCGAAGGAAUAUGCAAUGUACGUGUCUUUUCUUGGUGAGAUUUGGGUGAGAGCAUUAAGACUUUUGGUUCUUCCUUUGAUUGUAUCCAGCCUGCUUUUGGCAGUCGCUGAAUUGGAGUCAAAACAGAGCGGAAAAUUAGGAAGAAGAACAUUGCUGUAUUAUCUUAUGACUACAAUGUUGGCUGCCAUUUUGGGGAGUAUUUUAGUUAUUUGUAUCAAACCUGGAAAUGUCAACGUGAAAAAAACUGAACCGAACGAAAAAAAUGUUCAACCGAUACAUUCUGUGCUUGACCUAAUAAGGCUCUGGUCCACUGCUCACUGCGAAAUUUAGCUGUGAAGUGUUAAGUAAAGAAAAGGUUGCUGAAUGCUAUGUAGCUGAUCUUCAAAUAAGGAAAAGAGCGAAAACGGUGAAAAAAUCCAGAGCUAACUUUAAUCAAAUAAGGACGAGAAGAAAAUCUCUAGAGCUUGAAGAAAGUACAUCAAGACGAAAACAAUUCCCGUUCACAAAACGUUCCAGAGAGCGUUGCAGAGGAUCAAGGGAUGGAACCUGGAGCAGAAAGUCAGACUGAAUAUUUAAUAUUUUUACUCGUACUUUUAUAUUUGGAACUUCUUAUUGAAUUGUAUGAUUUAAAUCUUCCUUCAAUUCCUGAUGAACUAUAAAUAUCUAUAAUUUGUACAAGUUCGCCGUGAACAUAAUGAUAAUUGAAAUAUUAACUAAUUAGAACAAAUGUA